rnacentral:sRNA from 1 species
AAAUAUGGCUCUGAAAAAUCCAAAAAAAC